rnacentral:rRNA from 1 species
CACGCCGUAAACGAUGAUCACUAGCUGUUGGCGAUACACAGUCAGCGGCAAAGCAAAAGCAUUAAGUGAUCCACCUGGGGAGUACGGCCGCAAGGCUGAAACUCAAAGGAAUUGACGGGGGCCCGCACAAGCGGAGGAACAUGUGGUUUAAUUCGAUGAUACGCGAGGAACCUUACCUGGGCUUAAAUGUAGAGUGCAUUGGUGUGAAAGCAUCAUUCCCUUCGGGGCUCUCUGCAAGGUGCUGCAUGGUUGUCGUCAGUUCGUGCCGUGAGGUGUCGGGUUAAGUCCCAUAACGAGCGCAACCCUUAUCGUUAGUUGCCAGCGGGUAAUGCCGGGAACUCUAGCGAAACUGCCGGUGUAAACCGA